AGGGUUUGAUCAUGGCUCAGGAUGAACGCUGGCGGCGUGCUUAACACAUGCAAGUCGAGCGGAGAUAUUCGGAAAGCUUGCUUUUUGGAUAUCUUAGCGGCGGACGGGUGAGUAACGUGUGGGCAACCUGCCUCAUACAGAGGGAUAAUCAUGUGAAAACGUGACUAAUACCGCAUGUCAUUACCGAAGGGCAUCCUUUGGUAAGAAAAGGAGAAAUCCGGUAUGAGAUGGGCCCGCAUCUGAUUAGCUAGUUGGUGAGAUAACAGCCCACCAAGGCGACGAUCAGUAGCCGACCUGAGAGGGUGAUCGGCCACAUUGGGACUGAGACACGGCCCAA
rnacentral:rRNA from 1 species